CAGCCGCCGCGGUAAUACGUAGGGUGCAAGCGUUAAUCGGAAUUACUGGGCGUAAAGCGUGCGCAGGCGGUUCGCUAAGACAGAUGUGAAAUCCCCGGGCUUAACCUGGGAACUGCAUUUGUGACUGGCGGGCUAGAGUAUGGCGGAGGGGGGUAGAAUUCCACGUGUAGCAGUGAAAUGCGUAGAGAUCUGGAGGAAUACCGGUGGCGAAGGCGGCCCCCUGGACAAAGACUGACGCUCAGGUGCGAAAGCGUGGGGAGCAAACAGGAUUAGAUACCCGCGUAGUCCCUGUCUCUUAUAC
rnacentral:rRNA from 1 species